rnacentral:tmRNA from 1 species
GGGGUCGACCGGUUUUGACAGCUUGAGAAAUUGGUUGUAAGCACGUCAGAAGUUGAAAGUAUCUUCUGUAAAAAAGACUUUCAAACCAUAAUUGGCGAAAAUAACUACGCCCUCGCUGCUUAAUUUAUAUAAUUAACUAGUGAGUGUCUCGCAAGCUCCUCGUUCUGCCGAGUUUGCAUUCGAGACAUCGAACCGCAGAACUAAUCUAAAAUCCGACGUUGGUUUUGGGUAAAAACUUUAAUCGUCUAAGGUGUUUGAUAGGGCGUUGUGCCCCAGUCUUCGCUCGAAAAUUUAAGCACAAAUAAACGUGUAGAAAGCUUCUUGGUUUCCUUGUUUGGACGAGGGUUCGAGUCCCUCCGACUCCACCA